AGAGUUUGAUCAUGGCUCAGGAUGAACGCUAGCUACAGGCUUAACACAUGCAAGUCGAGGGGGAAACGACAUCGAAAGCUUGCUUUUGAUGGGCGUCGACCGGCGCACGGGGUGAGUAACGCGUAUCCAACCUGCCCACCACUUGGGGAUAACCGUUGCGAAAGUAAGACUAAUACCCAAUGACUAUCUCUAGAAGACAUCUGAAAGUAGAUUAAAGAUUCAUCGGUGAUGGAUGGGGAUGCGUCUGAUUAGCUUGUUGGCGGGGUAACGGCCCACCAAGGCAACGAUCAGUAGGGGGUUCUGAGAGGAACGGUCCCCCACAUUGGAACUGAGACACGGUCCAAACUCCUACGGGAGGCAGCA
rnacentral:rRNA from 1 species